ACCAGAAAAAUGUGGGUGCAUACAGAAGUGCUCUGUGUAUGUUUUACAGUGCUGUAAUUUAGAGCACUUUUUAAUAGCACUAUACAGUUACAGCACUCUUAGACAAGACAGAAGUGUAGUGUUU